GCCUUCAUAGCUCAGUUGGUAGAGCGUCGGACUGAAAACCCGGAGGCCGUGGUUCGAUUCCACGUGUUGGCA
rnacentral:tRNA from 1 species